AACGAACGCUGGCGGCAUGCCUAACACAUGCAAGUCGAACGAGACCUUCGGGUCUAGUGGCGCACGGGUGCGUAACGCGUGGGAACCUGCCCUUAGGUUCGGAAUAACUCCCCGAAAGGGGUGCUAAUACCGGAUAAUGUCUUCGGACCAAAGAUUUAUCGCCUUUGGAUGGGCCCGCGUUGGAUUAGCUAGUUGGUAGGGUAAAAGCCUACCAAGGCGACGAUCCAUAGCUGGUCUGAGAGGAUGAUCAGCCACACUGGGACUGAGACACGGCCCAGACUCCUACGCAAGGCAGGAGUGGGGAAUAUUGGACAGUGGGCGAAGGCCUGAUCCAGCAAUGCCGCGUAAGUGAUGAAGGCCUUAGGGUUGAAAAGCGCUUUUACCCGGGAUGAUAAUGACAGUACCGAGAGAAUAAGCUCCGGCUAACUCCGUG
rnacentral:rRNA from 1 species